GCCCUAAUAGCUUAAGCCUGAAGCAUUGGUCUUGUAAACCAAAGAUUGAAGACUACUAUCUUCUUAGAGCU
rnacentral:tRNA from 1 species